CCUACGGGGGGCAGCAGUGAGGAAUAUUGGUCAAUGGGCGCGAGCCUGAACCAGCCAAGUCGCGUGAAGGAUGACUGUCUUAUGGAUUGUAAACUUCUUUUAUACGGGAAUAACAAGAGUCACGUGUGACUCCCUGCAUGUACCGUAUGAAUAAGCAUCGGCUAACUCCGUGCCAGCAGCCGCGGUAAUACGGAGGAUGCGAGCGUUAUCCGGAUUUAUUGGGUUUAAAGGGUGCGUAGGCGGUUUGUUAAGUCAGCGGUGAAAUCUAGAGGCUCAACCUCGAAACUGCCGUUGAAACUGGCGAACUUGAGUGUAGAUGAGGUAGGCGGAAUUCGUGGUGUAGCGGUGAAAUGCAUAGAUAUCACGAGGAACUCCGAUUGCGAAGGCAGCUUACUAAGGUACAACUGACGC
rnacentral:rRNA from 1 species